UGUUUGGUUAGACUUGUGGUUUAAAACGGGGUUUCAAGAAAUAACAGGAAUUUUAUUAAAUAAAACAUCAUGACAUCACACAAGGUAUAAUGACAUCACAAACGAGAUGAUGACAUCACACAAGCUAUAAUUACAUCACAAAUGAGAUGAUGACAUCACACAAGGUAUAAUGACAUCACAAAUGAGAUGAUGAGACAUCACACAAGGUAUAAUGACAUCACAAACAAGAUGAUGAUAUCACGCAAGGUAUAAUGACAUCACAAACGAGAUGAUGACGACACACAGGAUAUAAUGACAUCACAAAUGAGAUGAUGACAUCACACACGAGAUGAUGACAUUACACACGAGAUGAUGACAUCACACAUGAGAUAAUGACAUCACAAAACACACCUGAUUAAGCCUCCUGGUCGCCAUACACAGAGCACAAGGUA